rnacentral:lncRNA from 1 species
GCAUCUUGCAGGGAUUAUUAAGGGACAAAUCCCAAAUCGAAUACAAACUAAAAUAUAGACAAACAUAUAAGGAAUUGAGCUAGUUCUCGUAUCCAGGUUGUCAUUUUAAAAUGAAAUAUCAGCUUUUAUCAUAAGCAAACAAGAAAAGAUAAUUCUAGUAUGAAAUAAAUAUAAUCAAUGAGUAGCUCCCUUCCUACUUUUGGCCUUAAAUUUCUUAGAAUUUACGAAACGUUGUAUUAAAAACUUGAUACAAUACAAAUACACACAAAGAACAUUAAUUUAUAUCAGUACAAUACUAAAAUCUAAAACUUCAACUCCAUAAAAAAGCUAUGCUAGAUGGUGUUGCUUGCAGGACCAUACAAUUUUUAAACAGCCUCAAAUCUCAAAAUCUUACACAAAUUAUUCAUCUGCUUAACAGAGGAAACCAACGUUCGCGAAAAUCAGACUGGUAAGAAAUCAUAAAGAGAAGAAGCACAAGCAGCAACCCAACACCCCACGGAGUCGAACCAGCCCGAUGAAUCGCGUCUUGUUCUGGGAAUGGAAGGAAAAAGAGCGACCUUUCCAAGCUUGAAAGCAAGUGCACAACCAUUAAAAGUAUUAAUGGCGACACCAUGAGAAGCAGCUUGAUCUGGUCGAACAAGCCCUCGAAAAUAGACUCAUAGUUUAUGUACCAUGUGAACCCUACAAACAUGAAGAGGAUAAUGAGGAAGAAACAUAAGUGUACAGGCAUAGGAGGCUGAGGAUUGUAAGCGUUGGACAUUUUUUUACAAGGUUUGAUUACGAUUGAAUUUGUGUUGUUUAAUAAUGUUGAGUAGACUAUUGUGUGGUGAGUAAUGAAAGUAGGGUUUUUUAUAAAGAGACGAGGGCCUCGGGUUUGCACGUACUUCGAGAGUUUCCUUUUUGCAUGGAAAGUGAAGCACCACUCGCUAUGAAUGAUAAUGGUAAGCA